CCUGGCGGCGAUAGCGCGGUGGUCCCACCUGACCCCAUGCCGAACUCAGAAGUGAAACGCCGUAGCGCCGAUGGUAGUGUGGGGUCUCCCCAUGUGAGAGUAGGGAACUGCCAGGC
rfam:Enterobacter aerogenes KCTC 2190, complete genome.